rnacentral:lncRNA from 1 species
AGGUAGUUGAAGUUUCACAUGUGAUGGAUUGAAAAACAGUACUUGAGAGAUUCAUACAUUCUGUAUUUGCUUACUGCAUUUUGUUGGGCAUGGGUUUAAACAAAAUGGGUCUUGCAUCCAAAAUGUAAUCUGGAUGUCUGUGAACAGAAGCAGGCAGAGGAACACAAACCAUUUGGGCAUCCUGUUCCUUUGCAGGGGCAUGUAAACACUUCUUUCUGAAAUAGCAAGGUGGGCAACAUUUAGCAGUCUGUUAAAUAUACAGACUGAUUUUUUAGGGUAAUGAUUUACUGGAAGUCUGGAAAAUGUGUAUUUCUGAUUGAGCCAGUUCUGUACAUCCCUCCUGUUCAGAGUCCUGUCAGCGCUGAGACUUAAAAACCCCUCACAUUAGCAUCUGAUGUUUCUCAUUAGGCUCAUAAAGAAUACAAAUGAAAUGCAUCUCCUCUACAACUCCCGUCUUUUUGGGAUGACUGUAGCCUGCUUCACUUUUAAAGACACUUUCUAUUUACAUUUGGCACCUGACCCAAAACACCUCUGUUUCAGAGCGUUUCAGUUCAAACCCAUGCUGCCCAAAGAAGCAAGCACUGAGCUGCCAUUUAAAAAAGACAAAAAAGAGGAAAUCGUGGGGAAGAUUUGCAUAUACAAGUUCAUGAAAACAGGCAGCAAGGAAGACAAGGGCCCCAGCCGUGCCUUCCACAAUGGAUACGACUACAACAUGAGCCUCACCAGGCAGAGGUGCCAGUCUAGGUACAUGAAGCCACGAGAAACCAAUUUUAUUAGCAUUGCUGCUCAGACAGUUAUUCAAAUGUUUUUCUUUGCUGGGGGCAUUGCUCUUGCCAUUGACUCCACUAUUUUCAACUGCAGCAUUAUCUGCUAUGAUCUAAGAAACACUUCACUCCUGCUUCAGGUGCAUUUUGUUUUAGAACUGAAAUACUUUGGUGGGCAAGAGAGGGGUGAGUACCACUGGGCAUGUCUUUCCUCAGAGCUUUGAGAGAUUUGGAGAGAGAUUUCUGGUGAUUGGCCUUGAAUUAUUUUAUUUUAUUUUUCCAGUUUAAAAGAAAAGGAGCACCCAGACUGCUUGCCUAUCUGAGAUCUUGUUCCACUAGCCAGGUGGCUUUUGAUCCAUGAAGCAGCGUCUCAGCUGCAUACCUCACUGGAAGAAAAUCUUACAGACAUUGAAGUUUUGCAACCGAACAGUUAUGCGCUUGUCUUGCUUCCAGCGUUUCUUCACAGUCCCCAUUUAGGCCCAGAAACUAGAGCUGCAAGUUCUAGUCUCAGCAGUAACGUCUCCCCCGUCAUUAAAUAAUUGAGUUAGUUCUGCAAGCUCCAACCCAAGGCAGAGACACUACCUCAUAGCUGGUGGGUCGCUGGCAGCAGGUUUGACAAAACCCUUUGAGGGUGGCUAGUGGAGGCUCUUUCCUGGCAGGUUCAAGCUUGGUUUGUUAGGUCAGUGGGGAGACAGACGGGGCGAACCACGCUGCUCCCUUGCCAACCCACGCUGGCCGAGGUUGGUUACAUUUUGGCUGUACCUUUCAGCGCAGCAUUAGGAAGACAGAAGAAGAGCCUGUGGUCCUUCGCUGAAUAAGAGAAGCAAAUUGAGGUAUUGGAGUCCUCAGGAGAUGCUGUUUUGCUGCCCUCUAGGCAAAGAUUAAAGCUUAAAACAUGGAAGUUAAAGAAAACGCUGUCCUGGGCACACCAAUGCAAAGCAGGAGGUUGAGAAGGUAGGAAGAAUUCUUGUGGGACUUCAUUAAGGUGUGAAUGUAAGAUCUCUAAGAGAUCUCCAGGCUCAGAUAAGCAAGAUCCAGUGGUAUACAACAAAGAAUUAUCAGGAAAGGCAUCAUAAUUACAAAGUACUUUUAUAUUAAAAUGAUGUCAUGUAAUAGGUUGAAGAACAAAAAAUAUAUAAGCCGUGCAGAUCUUCUUUAUCUAAAUAAUUGUUUUCUUAUGCAUUAUGCAGCAAACUUCUCAUAUAAUUCCUGCCCUUUAAUGGUAAACCUUAUUAAAUAAAGACUUUGAAACUAUUUUAACGUUUCA